rnacentral:rRNA from 1 species
CUAGUAAUGGCAGGUCAGCAUACUGCCGUGAAUACGUUCCCGGGCCUUGUACACACCGCCCGUCACACCAUGAGAGUUGGGGAUACCCAAAGCCCGUGAGCCAACUUUAAAAGAGGCAGCGGUCUAAGGUAGAAUCAAUGAUUGGGUGAAGUCGUAACAAGGUAAC